rnacentral:rRNA from 1 species
GACGAACGCUGGCGGCGUGCUUAACACAUGCAAGUCGAGCGGAAAGGCCCUUCGGGGUUCUCGAGCGGCGAACGGGUGAGUAACACGUGAGUAACCUGCCCCAGACUUUGGGAUAACCCUCGGAAACGGGGGCUAAUACCGGAUACGACACAGCUUCGCAUGGGGUCUGUGUGGAAAGUUUUUCGGUUUGGGAUGGGCUCGCGGCCUAUCAGCUUGUUGGUGGGGUGAUGGCCUACCAAGGCGACGACGGGUAGCCGGCCUGAGAGGGCGACCGGCCACACGGGGACUGAGAGACGGCGCAGACGCCUACGGGAGGCAGCAGGGGGGAAUAUUGCACAAUGGGCGGAAGCCUGAUGCAGCGACGCCGCGUGAGGGAUGACGGCCUUCGGGUUGUAAACCUCUGUCAGCAGGGACGAAGCGUAAGUGACGGUACCUGCAGAAGAAGCGCCGGCCAACUACGUG